ACUUAAGUAGUUUAAAAUAAAAUUAUGAUUUGUGGUGUCAUGGAUAUAAAUUAUUAUCUUAGGUC
rnacentral:tRNA from 1 species